rnacentral:rRNA from 1 species
AUUGAACGCUGGCGGCAGGCCUAACACAUGCAAGUCGAGCGGAGAGGCGGAAGGGUGAGUAAUGACUAGGAAUAUGCCUGGUAGUGGGGGAUAAAGUCCAGAAAUGGGCGCUAAUACCGCAUAAGAUAAGCUAAGCCUAGGGUGGAUUAGCUAGUUGGGGGGGUAAAGGCCUACCAAGGCGACGAUCCUGAACUGGACUGAGAGGAGGAUCAGUCACACUGGAACUGAGACACGGUCCAGACUCCUACGGGAGGCAGCAGUGGGGAAUAUUGGACAAUGGGCGAAAGCCUGAUCCAGCCAUGCCGCGUGUGUGAAGAAGGUCUUCGGAUUGUAAAGCUCUUUAAGUUGGGAGGCGUUACCUACAGAAUAAGCACCGGCUAACUUCGUGCCAGCAGCCGCGGUAAUAC